rnacentral:rRNA from 1 species
GGUAGCUAGCGAAGGCUUACACAUGCAAGUCGAGGGGCAGCACGGGAGUAGCAAUACAACUGGUGGCGACCGGCGCACGGGUGAGUAACGCGUAUGCAACCUACCUAUCAGAGGGGAAUAACCCGGCGAAAGUCGGACUAAUACCGCAUAAAACAGGGGCACCGCAUGGUGAUAUUUGUUAAAGAAAUUCGCUGAUAGAUGGGCAUGCGUUCCAUUAGGUAGUUGGUGAGGUAACGGCUCACCAAGCCGACGAUGGAUAGGGGAACUGAGAGGUUGGUCCCCCACACUGGUACUGAGACACGGACCAGACUCCUACGGGAGGCAGCAGUGAGGAAUAUUGGUCAAUGGGCGGGAGCCUGAACCAGCCAAGUCGCGUGAAGGAAGAAGGAUCUAUGGUUCGUAAACUUCUUUUGCAGGGGAAUAAAGUGCAGGACGUGUCCUGUUUUGUAUGUACCCUGAGAAUAAGGAUCGGCUAACUCCGUGCCAGCAGCCGCGGUAAUACGGAGGAUCCGAGCGUUAUCCGGAUUUAUUGGGUUUAAAGGGUGCGUAGGUGGUUUGAUAAGUCAGCGGUGAAAGUUUGCAGCUUAACUGUAAAAAUGCCGUUGAAACUGUCGGGCUUGAGUGUAAAUGAGGUAGGCGGAAUGCGUGGUGUAGCGGUGAAAUGCAUAGAUAUCACGCAGAACUCCGAUUGCGAAGGCAGCUUACUAAGCUACAACUGACACUGAAGCACGAAAGCGUGGGGAUCAAACAGGAUUAGAUACCCUGGUAGUCCACGCAGUAAACGAUGAUUACUAGCUGUUUGCGAUACACAGUAAGCGGCACAGCGAAAGCGUUAAGUAAUCCACCUGGGGAGUACGCCGGCAACGGUGAAACUCAAAUGAAUUGACGGAAGGGCG